GUGAUUAGAUUACGGCGAUCUACUACCUGCACAAAGGUAUUGUGUUCUGAACACAUUACAGUAAAGUGUUUACUGUUCAAAUUCGAAUUUCAAAUUUAAAUGCAUGCUACAUAUCAUAUUUAGAUCCUAGUAUAGGGUAAAUUUAUAUUAAUUAGUUAGAUUAAUUAAUAAUUUCUGUUGUAAAAUAGUGAUUUUGAAAAAUUUUAAAAUUACC
rnacentral:lncRNA from 1 species